ensembl:lncRNA
CCUAGUUUACUCCAUCUGUUGAUACACUGCCAGUAUUCAGCUCUGAGUAGUAAAUCUUUGUGAGACUUGAAGUUCUUCCUCAUAAUCCAUAUAGGCUGAAAUCUUAAACUGUAUUCUGUUCUGUAAAUCAUUUAUCUCUGUGCUUUUUAAAAAGUGGCCUACCUUUCCCCUUGAGGCCAUUGGUCUUGAAUGUAUUUAUUUUUUUGGCGGAGAGCCAUGAAUGAAUCAUAGCCCAGAGCAGCUUACAGUCUGAACUCCUCUCUAUUGUUAAUAUAAAAUACUCCAUGCGGUUGUUACAACGUUAUGCUAUGUAAAACUUUUAAGAGAAGAGAGAUUGAUUUCAGACAUGCUAGCUGCUUUUGAAGUUUCCCAACAGUAUGUGGAAAUGAUUUCUUAUGGUCGUACAGCUGUAAUUCACUAAAAUAACUAGUUGCAUGGGAAGUUAGUACAUGAGAAUGUUACUGACUGUCACAGUGGAGUGUUUGUUCUUUUGUGAAAAUAGUCACCCCAGCUUUUUGCUCCUUUUGUAGCUUUCCUGUUUGUACCUCCCUGCUCUAUUUCCAUAUUGCUUUAUUUUCUUUUAUUGUUCUUCAAUUAAUUCACAAGUCUUUUGUUCUGUUCUUCAGACACCCCUCUUUUCUGGUUUGGCCAUUCUGCUGUGGAUUUUGUUUCAUGCUCCGUUCUCUCUUUUUCUGUGUAACAGUGCUUUUAUUAAAGGCAACCGAGUACAUGAUUUAUUUCUUGGUGUUGAAAAGGAUUCUUUGUACUGAAGAGCCUGGGCCCAAUCAAAGUACUAAGGAUUUCCGUAGGUGAGUCAGCACUGUGGGCCUGGCUGGCUCUGAGAUAGUCAGUGCCAGUGAAGUGUAACUUCAUCUCAUGCUUCGGAGGAAAUAAACGGCACAACACUGGGUGAAUGGGGAAUAAAAAUGACCGGGUACAUAAUCCAUAGAUUUGUUUCUGCUUUUUACAGUCUUUCAUCUUGAUGUUGAGUCUUUUUGUUAACUUGCCUUUAGUUCUGAGCAACCCAUUUGACUAGCAUUACGAUGUUUGGCUGUUCCUAAACUGAUGAGUGCAUAAAACUGUGCCACACAAGGUGCUGACUUCUUCCAUAAGUAUGUAUAAGAGGUGUUCUUCAUCACUUUAUUUCCCCUUUUCCCAAGUAUUUAAAUAGUUUCUCCAGGUGGUUGGCUGUAUGACCCUUCAAAUAUUGGCUAUAUAGAAUGUAUUUAACUUUGUUUCAAUUGUAGACACUGUUUCUUGUGUGCACUUUAGGACGAUCUCUCUUUACAUUUAGUUCAGCUUGCUUGUUGGCUAACCUGACUGACAGAUGGAGUUCAACAGCUGCAGCCUUAUCAUAAACAAGGUGCCUCUCUAGGUAGCACAUAGCUGAACAAGUGCGACUCCUUUCUUUUAGAGACCUGACCUCUGUAGUAUCCCAUAUCUUUCUGAUGUUUGUGACAAACAUCUUUGCCCAACUGGGGAGAUGCAGGUGGAUAUGGAGGCCAGUAUUCCCAGAUUGUUUAGGGAGCUGAACCCUAAGGUCUUUUUUUUUUUUAAUUGAUUGAAGAGAUAAUACUGGAGCCUGUUCUGCCUCGGGAAACUUUAGAACAAACAUAGCACUUGUGAUGAAACGUCUGGCUCAGUCCCUGUAGAAGACAAGACUGAGAGCCAAGAAGUCAGUAGCUUUGGAUGCCUUGAGAAGGAGUGCAGGAGAGGGGGGAAGAGCUGAUUAAAGAAUCCUCCCAGUGUCUCAUCUCUCCCAAUGUCUCAUCUCAUGACCCUGUUGGAGUGCACUACGUUCUGAGGCAAGGCUUUUUAAAUUUGAGCUAUUUUCAUACUGAAGUCUUGUUUCCUUAAUUGCCUCACAAGCCUGGUGUUGAGGCGUAUACAUCCUGGAUGAGGAGGUUCUGCAUGUUCAUGGCGAACUCUUAUCCUCAUCCUUGGUUUAGUCAUUUAAAGUUGCAUCUCUUCUGUUCCCUUUCUAGCUUUCUAGUAAUUUCAGUAGGAGUCUUUCCAAUAGCAGGUUACUUCUAUCUAGUAAUUUGCUGAUAAUGUCUUUGGUUUAGAAACAGUUCUGUUGACUUAAAUUUUUUCUUGCAGCUUUGAAAUGUAUGUAAAUUAUGUAGUUUACACUGAUUUACUACGUAAACUCAAAGUAAUUUUGCAUCUGAUCAUGAAAUGCAACCUGUUCAUUAUUUUAAAGAUCCCAGUUACCCUAAAAUUUGUUUUUACAUAUGAGAAAAUUAAAAUAAGAACCAAUAGUAAGUGAAAUCUAUUAGAUGGAUGUGACAACUGCACAAGAAGGGGAGUGAGAUCAAGGAAAAAUGUAUAUAACUUAUUAUUCUGAAUAUGUAACUACAUCUGUGUAUCAUUGAUUAUACUGAUCUUUCUUUUACACUGAGUUUAUCACUCAGGGUUUUGCAGUGCAUUGUUUGUGUCCAUUUCACCAUCGCUAAUGAACUUGAACAAAACUUCUACAAAUUAAAACCAGUGGGUUAAUGCUGAAGAGUGCUUUUAAUCUGUUAAUCUGACACUCCUAUUUCUGCUUAGGUAUCUCAUCUUUUUUCAUCUUAUGGGAAUCACCAUAGGGUACGAUCUUUUUUCCUGGAACAAAGCAAGCAAAAGUACCUGUGGUUAAAUGUUCUGAGACAAUGGAGUUAGUGGUGUUCAUAUUUAUACUUCAGCUUUGGAAGUAUUUUACUGUUUGCUUUAAGAUUAUGCUUCUGUUCUGACCCUGCUCCAACUGAAAUUAUAGAGUCUCUUUUAAUCUUCCUUUGGAUGAUGGGGCAGGCGGUAAUGAAGAGGGCAAGCUUUGUCUUGAAGCAGGUAAUAAAUAACCAACUCCAUCAACUUACAGUUUGGAUCGACUUGUCUGUCUGGAAUUACUGCUAUUUAACACAUUAUGUUCUAAUGAAAUAAUAAACUAUCUUCAAAAAAAUUA